CAUAGUCACCUCGUCCUCCUUCUCCUUGACCUCAUGGAGAAUCUUCUCCAGUUCCUCGGACACCUUCUCAUAGUAGGAGCUGGUCUGUUCCACACUCACCACAGCUGAAAACCAAAAAGGGGACAUUAGUAAAGCUAGAUGCGGUUUUCAGAUCCUACCUUCUGCUCCGGGGAUGUCUGUGGCGUCCCACUCCUCUCUCUUGUUGAUCUUAAUGAGGGACAGACGCCUCUUGGAGAACCUUCUUUUCAAACUCAUUCUCUUUGAGGACUUCUUCUUUGUCGAGGAGGCCGGCGUCGAGGCGGGCAGGCACACAGCGGUGUGGUCCGCAUCAUGGUCCGAAGCCUCGGGAAUGUCGGACGGACACUCCCGCUCCUCGUCUUUCUCCUCAGUGCUCCGUCGUGAGAACAGACCCAGGAAGUUCUUCCACAAGGAGGGCUUUUUGUUCUUCUUGGACUUCUUGCUGACAUUGUUGUCCGGCGGUAUGUCCGGGGGAGUUUCGGUGGGAGCAAGUGACCGGAACGUCCCGUCGUUCAGGGCCCCGGCCAAAUGAAUGGAAGGGUCGCUGGAAUGUCUCCGGUGCCUUUUGGGGAUGGUCACCCACUUGAGUUUGCGCUCGUGACGCUUGAGUCCCAGUGACUCAUCGUUGAGGCUGAGGCUGCGUUUGACAUAGACUUCCAGAAGACGCCGCGUGUCAUUGGGCGCCACGAAAAUCACAGAACUUUCGUUGGGCCGUUGCAUGGUGGGGUAACUGCAAACACAAGAGGAUAGAGAUAUUCUUAUUGUAUAAAUAAGAAAGCCCUGAAUAGUUUGCGUGUUGUUUCCUGUACAUGACUCACCUUCAUCGGAAAUCAACAGAAAGCAAGCGGUCGCAUUAGAGGUUUGUUGUUGCUCAAUAGUAAAACUUUUGGAUGGAUUGAAAAAAACACAUACGACAUACAAGUAACAUACAGUCUGAGUCCGAUCAAAUAGAAUACAGCUCUCGUAUUCAAGACAAUUGAUAAAUACAGCGAUAUCGAGCGAAUACAAUAAAUGUUUGCAUUCUU